rnacentral:piRNA from 1 species
UGAUGAAGGUCAGGCUGGUUCUGG